GACGAAUGCUGGCUGCGUGCUUAACACAUGCAAGUCGAACGGUGAAAGGGAGCUUGCUCCCUGGAUCAGUGGCGAACGGGUGAGUAACACGUGGGCAACCUGCCCCUCACUCUGGGAUAACUCCGGGAAACCGGGGCUAAUACCGAAUAUGAUCAUCGGCUUCAUGGUCGGUGGUGGAAAGCUUUUGCGGUGUGGGAUGGGCCCGCGGCCUAUCAGCUUGUUGGUGGGGUAAUGGCCUACCAAGGCGACGACGGGUAGCCGGCCUGAGAGGGUGACCGGCCACACUGGGACUGAGAUACGGCCCAGACUCCUACGGGAGGCAGCAGUGGGGAAUAUUGCACAAUGGGCGCAAGCCUGAUGCAGCGACGCCGCGUGAGGGAUGACGGCCUUCGGGUUGUAAACCUCUUUCAGCACAGACGAAGCGCAAGUGACGGUAUGUGCAGAAGAAGGACCGGCCAACUACGUGCCAGCAGCCGCGGUAACAC
rnacentral:rRNA from 1 species